rnacentral:tRNA from 2 species
CGGGGAUUAGCGCAGUUGGUAGCGCGCACGGUUCGGGACCGUGAGGUCGGCAGUUCGAAUCUGCCAUCCCCGA